rnacentral:lncRNA from 10 species
GAGCUGCCUUCCACACCUGGACUGCUCUAUAAGACUAUUGCAUACAAAAAAGAAAUUGCUUUGUUCUUCAAGUCACUCCAGUGCUGGGUUUCUUUGACAGGAUUUUUCUUUCUCCAGAUGCUGGGUGAAGAAGGGAAUGAGACAGAAAGACUAGGCUUAGAGAAGCUGGUUAAGGAGGCUGCUGCAGUGAUCCAGGUGGGAAAUGGACCCAGAGCUGUCAACAGGGAUGGCAAGAAGUGGACAGAUCUGAGGCCUGGUUGAUGAUGGGCUGCGAGGAAAGAUGUGGGAGAUGUGGGGAGACAAAGGUCAUUCCUUGAACAUGCAGGUUGAAAUGACCAAGAAGUUUCCAGCUAGAGAAACAGACUUGUGAGUCAGCAGCAGAGAGAACCAAUGCACUCUCCCAGGAAGAGGGGUAAAUGGUGAGAAGAAAAGAGGGACUGGAACGGAACCCCAGAGGACCAGGGAGAGCUGCGCCCCAAAGGGACCAAGAAGAGCUGGUCAGAGAAGGAAGAGAAAGACCAGAAGCGCACAUUGUCAAGAACAUAAAGAAUGGUGGCUAGUAAGAGUCAACAUGUGUAAGAGGGUCAAAUUCUGGGAGAUGUAUUCACAGGCCACUGGUAACCUUGGCAGGGAAGAUGGGGUCAGUGCCUGGGGCGGGGCUGAAGUGGUGGUAAGAGCAGAUACCAUCUAACAGGGGCAACUAUUCUUUAUCUAUUUGUUUGCUCAUUCAGUAAAUACUUUAUACAUGAAACAGGGUGCUGUGUUCAGAGCUGUGGAUAAGAUGCCAACUCCGGAGGCCUUCAC